UUGAUUCUUGUGUAUGAUUCAGACGACACACAGAUUUAUGCAUAAAAGCGGCGCCCAGAGGAGGACACCGAAGCACAUUUUUUGCUUCCACAGGUUCGAGGGGUCGAAGGCCAUAGGCCUUUCAUUAAUGAUCCCUCCGCAGGUUCACCUACGGAGA
rnacentral:misc_RNA from 1 species